UAUGAAUUUGAAAAUAUUCAAAAGAAAUCAAGAUGAAAAUGAUAUUUCCCACUGACAACAUCUUCGUAGUCUUUGGUGAUCAGGUCUAUCAACAAUCUUUUUGAAUUCACAUGGGCACGAAUUAUGCUCCUUUUUUAGCUGACCUGUUUUUAUAUUCUCAUGAAGCAGACUUUAUCCAAAACCUUCUACAUGAGAAGAAAAAAGUUCCUAUUGUGUCCUUCAACUCAAAAGUUGUUAUUUACGCAUUUUCCACGUCCAACAUUAGUAAAAAUACGCGGUAACUGAUUAUAAUAUAUAAGGUAUGAAAUAUCUAUAACUAUACACGUGAGGAAAAUUUACGCGCUUAUUACAUGACCGCUUUUUAAAAUUAGUGUAAAGGUCCCCCAUGUGUAGAUAACCACUUUUACAGUAUAUCUACGAUGUUUUAUCUAUUAACAAUAAUAAUUUUUCAUUCAUAUGAUGAUUAGACAUAUACCUGUGAAUUCGAACCAAAAGACACCACGGAGUCCUCCACAUCCGUUUCGUACUUAUAUAUUUUAUGGAAAAUGGAUAUUAUAGGCAAACUAAUAAGAUUUAUAGAAUUAACUAUAAAUCCAUUUAUUUUAGCCAGACUUAAAUAUAUUUUAUUUCUGAGGAUUUUUUCGGAAACACUAUUCCGGAAUCCUACCGGAAAUAAGUUGGCAAAUAGAAUAGCAUUUCCUUUUAUGACGAGGCAAUUUCGGGAGAACGGUGAGAUAACAGUCGAGACAACAUUUUAAUUUUUUAUAAGAUUCAGAAGCUACGGAAAAUAAGUUAAAUUGUAGAAAAAACAUGCCAAAAGAAAAAUCAACGAGGGCGAAAAAGAAGAAGGGAGGUGAUGUUAUGAGAAAGGGGCGAACAAAUAAAAAUGUGGAAGGUCCAGUUGAAUUUCAAGAGCAGACGACAAUGGAGACAUCAACAAAUAACGGAUUUGAGGGAGAAAUGGAUGUAUCACCCAGAGAUGAACCAUCGGGAUUCCGCAUGGAGAAUUCCAGGGAAACCAUUCGAGGUACACAGGGCAUAGAUAUACCAAAUAUGGUCAACAGUUACAACAAUGUCAUUGGACUUAAUGUUUCACAAGAAAUUAAAAACAAAAUAGUCAGUGGUCAGUAUGUAGAAUUGGCAAAACUGUUGAUUAAUUCUAAUGAACCACAAAAACAAACAAUUGUAAUGGUGAAUGGGGAAUUACAAACAUCCGAGAAAAAUUCUAAAAAAAUCAACAACAUUGAACAAUGGACGGAUGCAUUUAUAAUUUUUUGCAGUAUUUAUUUAGAAGCACAUCCGGCAAAAACAUUAGAAAUUUUGAAAUACAUGAAUGAUGUUAGGUUAGCAGCAUCUAGGUCAGGAAAUCUUGGAUUUAAAGAGUAUGACCAACAAUUCAGAUUAAAAAUGGCAAAGAACCCUACAAAACCAUGGGGUGAGGUUGAUUCAGAAUUAUGGUUGAUGUUUGUUUUACCUGCUGUUAAAACUCUGUCUGCUGCUCCAACUUACCAGAGUCAGAGUAAAAAAUGCUACAAUUACAACUACCAAGGUUCAUGCUUCAGAUCACCCUGUGCAUAUUUGCAUGUAUGUAUCAAGUGUGGGGGUCAACAUCCUAUCAACAAUUGUCAAUCAAAAAACAUCAGCACACAAGGGGAAGGUUUUAGUAAUUUUCGUGGACAGGGAAAUUACAGAUUUUCAAGGGGUCAGUACCAAAACACAAGAGGAAGAGGGGGGUCUCAAUUCAGAGGUCAAAGGGGAACUUUCUAAAGUAUGGAAGCUUGGGACCACCCCUAUAGAUAUAAAAAAUUUAGAAUCAUUGUUACACAGUUAUCCUAAAAAAAAUAUAGCUUUAGAGCUUUUGCAAGGAUUUAGAUUUGGAUUCAGAUUAGGGUACAAAGGGCCAAGAAUAGGGAGUGAAUCAGAUAAUCUUACAUCAGUCAAAAAACACCCUGAGAAAGCAAAAGAAAAAAUAGAUAAUGAAGUAGAAAAAGGAAGGAUAGGGGGACCAUAUUCAAAUAAACCAAUAUCAAAUUUAAAAAUAUCGCCAAUAGGCAUUGUACCAAAAAAAGAGGGAAUGUGGCGAUUAAUUACACAUCUAUCUUUUCCAGAAAAUAACGGUGUUAAUCACUACAUAGAUCCCCAAGAAUGUACAGUAGCUUAUACAUCUUUAGAUCAGGUUUUAGAAACAGUAGCUAGGUUGGGAACAGGAACAUUGCUGGCUAAGAUGGAUAUAAAAUCUGCAUUUAGACUAAUGAUAAUCCAUCCUGGUGAUUUUGAUUUGCUAGGUUUCAAAUUUCAAGGUAAAUAUUACAUUGACAAAUGUUUACCAAUGGGUUGUGCAAUGUCAGGUAAUCUGUUUGAAAAGUUUUCAACAUUUUUACACUGGCAACUACAGAAACAGACAGGUAUUGACACGAUUUAUCAUUAUCUGGAUGAUUUCUUAUUUAUUGGAAGAGUAGGUACUCAAGAAUGUUCACAUUUAAUGGAAGAGUUUCAAAAUUUGUGCAGUUUGGUGGGUGUACCGUUAGCAAAUGAAAAAACAGUAGGGCCAUCUACAAGCAUUAUAUUUUUAGGUUUAGAAAUAAAUACGGUUGAUAUGGUUGUAAAAAUUCCUCUAGAAAAGGUAAAACAGUUGAAAUCUAUGCUAAAUAUGGCCCUUAUUAAAAAGUCAUUACAGUUACAAGAAGUACAAAGCAUAGUUGGAAGCUUAAAUUUUUUCAGCAAAGGUGUGCCAAAUGCAAGAGCAUUCAACAGAAGGUUUUAUGAUGCUACUUGUGGGGUGACAAAAGCUCAUCAUCAUAUCAAAAUCACAAAUGAGUUUAGGGAAGAUGUUAAAACUUGGUUACUUUUUUUAGAACAGUUCAAUGGUGUUAGACUCUUGCAUGAGAGUGAUUGGCUGAGUAACGAAAAUAUGAAAUUGUUUACAGAUAGUACAGGCAAUCCAGAUUUGGGAUGUGGGGCAUACUGGGAAGGUAGAUGGGUUUUCUGGCCUUGGCCAACAAAAUGGGAUUUAGGUAUUUUUAAAGAAAUGUCAUUUUUGGAGCUGGUGCCCAUUGUAUUAGCUAUUUACAUAUGGGGCGAAAUGCUCUUUAAGAACAAGAGGAUCAUAAUGUACAUUGACAACAAUGCACUGGUGUCAAUUAUUAACAAACAAACAUCAAAAUAAAAAAGAAUCAUGUUUUUGAUAAGAAAGUUGGUCCUUAUACUGUUAAAAAACAACAUAGUAUUCAAGGCAAAACAUAUAGCAGGUACACAAAAUAGUAUCGCAGAUGCACUGUCACGUAAACAGUUUAAAACAUUUCAGGAAUUGGCUCCACAAGCAAACAAGAUACCAGAAAAAAUACCAGUAGAAUUUCAGCAGUUGAUGUUAGAAAUGAAGUAAACAACUUGUUACAUCUAGCAACAGCCCCAAAUACUCAGGAAACAUACAACCAGGGACUAAGAUGCUUUGAGGAAUUCCAGGAUUCCCUAAACCUUAGCAAAAUAUGGCCCCCUACGUUAGAGCAAAUAGUUCUAUUUAUAGGUUAUAUGUCAGCAAAACAUCUCUCAGUGGCAACAGCUAGAACUUACAUUUCAGCUAUUUCUUACAAACUAAAAAUUCAAAACAAUAGGGAUGAAACUCAAAGCUUUCUGGUUAAGAAACUCUUAGAAGGAUUCAGAAGAAAGGUCAAGAAAAAUGAUGCCAGACUGCCAAUUACAUCAAAUAUAUUAAAUCAAAUACUACAAAGUUUGCACUUGGUUUGUACAAACUACUAUGAAUGCAAACUGUUUCAAGCCGCCUACACUUUAGCAUUUUUUGGUUUCUUUAGAGUUGGAGAAAUGACAGUAAAAAACCAAAAAGAUCUGGGACAUGCAAUUGAAUAUGAAGACAUAAAAAUGUUUACAGAAGAAAAUAAAAUCCAAAUCAAAUUAAAGCAUUCCAAAGUGGAUCAAAUAGGGGAAGGAGAAACAAUUACUAUUCAGAAUAGCCAAUUUGGGUCUCAAAUACAACCAAUUAAGAUUAUUCAAGAAUAUCUAGCAAUACGACCUUCAGUGCAGGGGAAGUUGUUCUGUCAUUUUAGUGGACAACCAUUAACUAGAUACCAAUUUACGGCAGUUUUAAAUAAAGUUUUGUCGAUAAUAGGGUUAGAAGGUAAAAAAUACAAGUCUCAUUCAUUUAGAAUUGGGGCAGCAACCAGUGCAGCAAUGUUUGGUAUGUCAGAGGAAGAAAUCUGUAAAGCAGGAAGAUGGAAAUCUAAAGCAUACAAAAUUUAUGUUAGGAUGUAAUCAUAAUAUAAAUGUAGGUGUAACCCUUAAGACUGUCAUAUGUUUAAGUAUAUAUGAAAAUGGUUUCAAGUCAUAUAAUUAUAUAUAUCUUGUCAUGUCUCUAUAUAUACACUUUCAGAACAACAGGUAUGGGUAGUGGGCUCAUCAAUAGUCAAAAGAGCAUUUUUAGCAGCUAGAAUCAGACCAGAUGGAGUUAACUUGGGACUAAUGGAUAGAUUAAAUGUGUCUAUUUGGUGGCAAGGAAAAGGGGGUAUGGGCUGGUAUGAAAUGUACAACAAGAUCAAAACAUUGCUGAAAGUUGCUGACCCUCCUGAUUACAUUAUUCUACAUUGUGGUGGUAAUAAUAUUGGGUACACACCAAUCAAACAGCUUAUACAAGAUAUGAAAGGUACAAUUGACAAAAUUUGGAAACUUUUACCCAAUACAAAGCUUGUAUGGUCACAAAUAUUGCCUAGAAAGAACUGGUAUUCAUCAGAUAGCAUAGAAAAAAUGAAUAAUUCUGCAAAAAGAAUCAACAGUUCAGUGGCGGCUUAUAUAGUAAGGAAUGGGGGAUGUUAUAUCAAGUAUUUGGAUAUCAAACUUGUAAACACAAAUCUUUUUGAGGCAGAUGGGGUCCAUAUAUCAAAUAUAGGCAAUGAAAUUUUUCUCAACAACAUUAGUGCAGGGUUAGAACAAUUUAUAACGAAUGGAUGGCAAGUGUAUCCAAAGUUAUACUAGAAUUUGGACGGAGUAUUUUGUGGCAAGGUCUUGGCUCCAGGAACUAGCCGCUUCCCCCCCUUGGUGGCGGUGGCUUCAAUGGUUAAUAUUGUAACCAUUUCCGCCAUGUGGAAGAAUGCGCGUCUGGUUCCUGUGAUUGGACAUUGAAUGAUUUGAUUGGACAAUAUUGUAUGUAUUGAAUUAUUUGGUGACAAUUUGGUCACAUAUAUAUAUGAUACACUUUGAUUGCCGCUCACCGGAAUCAUAGUCAUAUGGUUUUUUGUUUAAUUGAAAAUUGACAUUUUAAUGAUUGAUGUUUGGGGGUGAUUGCAAAUCGUCUCAUUGCCGUCAACCGGAAUGAGAAGAUCUGCGAAAUUUGUUGCUUGAUUUUAUGAUAUAACAUUAGGCAAUGAUGUGUUUUUGGCCUGUACCAUUUGGGUGUCAAUACACAGGUGUAAUUUACAUGGUAAAAUUUUAAUGUAAAACUUUAAAAUUUUACUCAUUGCCUAGUUGCCAAGACCAACAACAGCCACAAUGGGGAGGGGGGUGUUGUUAUAAAAUACAAUAAGUGCAAAAAAUAAACUUGUAUAUAGGUAAACAUAAUGUUAUGUCUUUAUUUCCAUCCCAGGACAAGGUCAGCUUACAAGUACAAUGUACACUACAAACUGCUAUCAUUUUGAAGUUUUGCAAGGCUGGUCUAUAAUAAUAAGAUUUAUAGAAUUAACUAUAAAUCCAUUUAUUUUAGCCAGACUUAAAUAUAUUUUAUUUCUGAGGAUUUUUUCGGAAACACUAUUCCGGAAUCCUACCGGAAAUAAGUUGGCAAAUAGAAUAGCAUUUCCUUUUAUGACAGGCAAUUUUGGGAGAACGGUGAGAUAACAGUCGAGACAACAUUUUAAUUUCCCUUCCCACCCAUCCCAAAAAGUUGUAAGAAUAUGUACUGCGGAAAAUGUUUUCAAUUUUUCAGGUGAGCUCGAUUCUUGGAUAUAGUUCUGGUUAUGGGAAAAGAAACAAAUACAAUGGAGUGUGUUUGAAAAGACUGUCUUGGCAACUUGGGGCCAGAUAAAGUACAUUUUUGAUUACGGAACACAAGAAGAAUGCGCGUCUGGUUCCUGUGAUUGGACAUUGAAUGAUUUGAUUGGACAAUAUUAUAACUCUGUUUACCUGAUCAAGACAUGGGCUCACGGCAGGUGUAACCGGUAUAUAGGGGAUGCUUAAUUCUCUUAGACACCCGAUCCAACCUCUCAUAUGUUCAGAGUUCCGGUUUUGCCCAUCUAUUUAUUUUGUAUUCCUCGUGGGAUUAUGAGAUUGGUCACUUGUAUGACAGGGAAUGCCCCAAGGACUGGAAAAAAUUCUCAGGAAACUGUUAUAGGCUUCUGUCGGGCAAAAAGAACUGGGAUUCAGCAAAGAGCGCAUGCAAAGCACUUCAGGCAAAUUUGGCUGACGUAACAUCAGAGAGUGAAAAUCGAUGGCUUUAUAAGACAUUUACAGGU